GGGGAAGGUCACGUCGCCAGGGUGUGCAGCAGCGAGCGCUCCCUCAGCUCGCUCGGGGUUGCCUGGAUUCUGCACGCGAUCUUCACCAGGGGGCGGGGUUUAACGUCUCCCAGAGAGCAGCGGUCACGAGGACACUGAUGCACAGCGUUGGCUUUACAUCGAGAGGAACGUACACGAACUGCCACAGUGAAUGCAUCGUCCUGACAGUGAAGCAUGAAUGUUGGAGUGCGAUGAGACGGGGCCACAUCAAAAGUGAAGCACGGAGGUGGAAUCAUGAUGAUAUAAGGCUGCAUAAGUGCAAAAGGGAAACGUACAGGAACUACCACAUUGAAUGCAUUGUCCUGACAGUGAAGUAUGAAUGUUGGAGUAUGAUGAGACGAGACUGCAUAAGCGCAGAAGAUGAUGGGGAGAAGACAUUUAUGAUGCAUAUUCUCCGAUCAGAUACCUCACUGAUUAUACUACACAAUCUUGUCUUCCUUAAAUUAUGUACAUAUACAACUGACGGUGUUCUCAAUUCCGAUUUUAGGGAAGUGUACACGAACUACCGCAGUGAAUGCAUAGUCCUGACAUUGAAUCGCGGUGGUAGAACCGUGACCAUGUGGGUGCUGAAGCAACACAUCCGCAAGGAAGGUAAUAUUUCUCUGUGUUGAAGUCCUGGCUCUUCUGUC
ensembl:lncRNA